GGGGGCUAGCGUUGCUCGGAAUCACUGGGCGUAAAGCGCACGUAGGCGGCUUGUUAAGUCAGGGGUGAAAUCCUGGAGCUCAACUCCAGAACUGCCUUUGAUACUGGCGAGCUUGAGUUCGGGAGAGGUGAGUGGAACUGCGAGUGUAGAGGUGAAAUUCGUAGAUAUUCGCAAGAACACCAGUGGCGAAGGCGGCUCACUGGCCCGGUACUGACGCUGAGGUGCGAAAGCGUGGGGAGCAAACAGG
rnacentral:rRNA from 1 species